CCGGGUUAAAGAAAUGCUCGCCACCACAAUCUCGUCAGCUUUUCCAGUCAAUGUUGCGCCGCAUUUUGGAAAUGAACCAUUAUCCUCUACUACUCUGCAUUGCCGCCGAACCAAGAAUCCGAUGAGGUUAACAAGAGGAGUCUUUCCAGUUUGUGAAUUUCCAGCAUUUCUUCCCGAGCAAGUUGAAAAUAUCAAAGAUCCAUUUGCGAGAAAAUUGGCCUCAAGAAUUGAAAGACUGCCCGUUCAACUUUUUAGACAGUUGUAUCAUGACUAGUUGUGUGAAGCCAGAGGGAGAUAGCAAGAAAAGUCCAGUGCUUCUUCUUCAUGGUUUUGACAGCUCUUGUUUAGAAUGGAGAUACACACUUCCAUUGCUUGAGCAGGCAGGUUUGGAAACUUGGGCAAUUGAUAUUCUUGGUUGGGGCUUCUCUGAUUUAAAAAGGCUCCCACCAUGUGAUGUAGCUUCAAAACGUGAUCACCUCCACAAGGUAAUGGCUUUCCUGUUCAUUAGACCUCUUAUCCUUUGCUGAUGGAUAUAGAAAAGAAGAGAUUCCAAUGACAUAUUAGUAAUACAGUAGUGUUGUAAGCGAUAAAAGAUUCUCAAGUACAAAAUCCAGGUUCAGUAUGCAUUGUCAAUCAGAAACUCUACAUAAUGUUAAGCUGGUUUUUGUUGGAAUCCCAUGAUUGGUAACAUGCAGACAUGUCUUUGGCGGAGGGGUCUCAUAUGUCAUAUUUUCCAAUUAGUCUACACAUUUUGACAAGUCCUUUACAAAUUUCAUAGGAGUCAGGUAUGUAAAUUCAAGAAUCUUCACUUGAAACUCUGGAUGAAGAAAUAGGAAUUUUAUAUUCUGAUCUAUAUCUAUUUGCUCAGUGGGUCCAGCUAAGAAGGCAGUUUACUAUAUCCCCCCUAUUAGCCAUAUUUGAGACUGGGAAGAGUUUUCUUUUUCUAUUUCCUGCUAAUUUACCUAUAGAGAAGUGUUAAUUCCAAUCAUAUUUCCAAUCAUCUGAAAGACUAUUUUGCAUUUCAUGGCGUGUUAUUGCGGAAGUUCUGGAGUUCCUAUAUCAACAGGCCAAUGACAAUAGUUGGGCCAAGCCUUGGAGCAGCUGUGGCAAUUGAUUUUGCUGUCCGCUAUCCUGAAGCUGUUGACAAACUGAUUUUGGUAGAUGCCAGUGUUUAUGCAGAAGGCACAGGGGACCUUGCAAAGUUACCCAAAACAUUAGCAUAUGCUGGGGUCUAUUUAUUGAAAAGUCUUCCCUUGCGCCUGUAUGCGACUUCGAAGGCUUUCAAUGGUUUGCCAUUAAAUACCUUGUUUGAUUGGACCAAUAUUGGCCGUUUACAUUGUCUAUUACCUUGGUGGGAGGAAGCUACAGUUGAUUUUAUGAUCAGUGGAGGUUAUAAUGUUGUUGCCCAUAUAGGACAUGUAUGGUAAAACAAAAGACACUCAUAUUAUGGGGUGAGAAUGAUCAGAUUAUAGAUAGCCAGCUUGCACUGAGACUACAUUCUGAACUGCCAAAUGCAAUUAUACGGCAAAUACAAGAUUGUGGCCAUAUACCCCAUGUGGAGAAGCCUGCUGCAGUCAGCGAGCUGAUAACAGAAUUUGUUUGAACUUCAUGCAAUCUGGGAGAUAACUGUAUCUUCAUAUGUGAGAAAUUAUCCGACUGCUUUUGAGGCAAUGUUGAGGGAACCAGGCAAUUCCGCGAAUAUCUUCUCAGCGUUCUUCUAGCAUUGCAAGGAAAGGACUUCAUUUGAUUGCCAAGAAAUGUAGCAUGAAAUUCUUCCGAAAGUGAUUUGUUGCUUACCGCCAGGACUCGUGUCAAGCAUCAUACAUCAAGAACGCAGAAACCACUCGAAUCUGAUCCACCAACCCCUUGGUUCGGCUCAUGUUCUUCACUUUCUGAAGUGUGACACUCUUAUUUAUUUUUCUUCUUUUUUGUUUCCGAUACCUUGCCAUGUUUUAUAUGACGGAUCAAGAUUUAGACGAUCAUGAAAUGAAAAUCCAUAUUAUUUAAUCA